AAUUUAGAUAGUUUAUUUAAAACAUUAAUCUGUGUAAUUAAAAAUAAUUAAUUAAUUUCUAAAUU
rnacentral:tRNA from 1 species